rnacentral:rRNA from 1 species
UACGUAGGUGGCAAGCGUUGUCCGGAUUUACUGGGCGUAAAGAGCGCGCAGGCGGUCGAUCAAGUCGCGUGUGAAAGCCCCCGGCUCAACUGGGGAGGGUCACGCGAUACUGAUCGACUCGAAGGCAGGAGAGGGUAGUGGAAUUCCCGGUGUAGUGGUGAAAUGCGUAGAUAUCGGGAGGAACACCAGUGGCGAAGGCGACUACCUGGCCCGUUCUUGACGCUGAGGCGCGAAAGCUAGGGGAGCAAACGGG